CAUAAAGCACAAACAUGGCUCUACCAAUAUAUACGAGUGGUGUUGCUGGGCAAUUGCAUCAAGUUUUUCAUAUGCUGGACACAACCUAAUGAUGUGAGACCUAAAGGGACAAAUUAAAGUAAAAAAGGGAAAAUAACUAUGAGAAGCACCAAACCUAUGAAAGUUUAAAUGAAGGUUGAAGUCCACUUUUGACUUGGACUUCAGCAUGGCUCAGCCAUGGACCAUGCCUAAUUUUGACUCUAUCUACGUAGGCUACUUUGAUCGGGAAAAUGCGCAACUCAAUCACAUGCAUUUCGCUAAG
rnacentral:lncRNA from 1 species